AUGGAGGUCAGAUUGUAUUUUUGAGAGUGGUAUUUGCUCUUGAAUUCCAAAUUUACAUAAUUAUAUGUUUGAAUUUAGUUAGAUUUCUGCUGUUGG